rnacentral:rRNA from 1 species
AACGAACGCUGGCGGCAGGCCUAACACAUGCAAGUCGAACGAGAAGCCACCUUCGGGUGGUGGACAGUGGCAGACGGGUGAGUAACGCGUGGGAACGUGCCUUUCGGUUCGGGAUAACCCAGGGAAACUUGGGCUAAUACCGGAUACGCCCUUCGGGGGAAAGAUUCAUUGCCGAAAGAUCGGCCCGCGUCAGAUUAGCUAGUUGGUGGGGUAAAAGCCUACCAAGGCGACGAUCCGUAGCUGGUCUGAGAGGAUGACCAGCCACACUGGGACUGAGACACGGCCCAGACUCCUACGGGAGGCAGCAGUGGGGAAUAUUGGACAAUGGGCGCAAGCCUGAUCCAGCCAUGCCGCGUGGGUGAAGAAGGCCUUAGGGUUGUAAACCCCUUUCAGCGGGGAAGAUAAUGACGGUACCCGCAGAAGAAGUCCCGGCUAACUCCGUGCCAGCAGCCGCGGUAAAAC